AAGGUUGUUCCAACAGGUCCGCUACAGUCAUGAUAUAACAAUAUUGUUACAACCUUGUGUCGUCAACCUUGUAACAUUCUUGUUAUAUCACGACUGUAUCAGACUUGUUAGAACAACCUU
rnacentral:miRNA from 1 species